UUUUGCACGCUCACUAUUUCUUCAGUAUCGUUUCAACUAUCGUAGAAUCAACACAGCGAAAAUGUUACGGCAAUUUCUUUUCCUUACGUUCGUUUGUAUCUUUUACUCUGUCAGCAAUGCACAGCUUCAGGAAAGAAAGACGGAAAUUCACAUUGGCAAUAAAUCAAUUCUCGGAGACUCAAUGAUCGUUACAAUUGCUAUGCUUUGCACUUUGAGUUCGGUUUUGAUAAUACUCAUACCUACGACAUUAUACUAUAAAUAUUGUGCGAAAAAAAGCAACACAGAGAUGCAUUCCAAUGGAAUUCAUUAAAUCUAGAAAGAAGCCAGCUACACUAUUGUACACAACCAUUUGAAAGGACCUUUUUAUUGCGAGGAAAAAAAGGAACAAAUAAAAUUAAAAAAAAAAUAAAUAAAUAAAUAAAUAGAAAUAAAAAAGAAAAAAGAAAGGAAGGAGCAGAAAAUUAACGUUUCGAUCGUAACGCAUGCGCGUGGAAGAGGAAAACGAGGGAGUUUUGGCGACGACGCGAACUCGUAAGCUCGAUAAAUCGACGAGAAUUAAUCGUAUCGCGUCGACGCGGACAAAUACGAAUUCGAUAAUUAAUCCGUUGAUCGGUUUUAUGACUCCCCGUUGAACGACACUUCUCUGCUGCUCGAACCGAUCGUUCGUUUUCUCUCUAUCCUACCCUCUUGUUUUAACUUCGGCCAUUUGGCAACGAACGCUGAUAAUGGUAAAGCGAGCGAACCGUACCAACGAUUUCAUUGAACGAUCCCGAUUAUUUUGGAUGAAAUGCUGUAUAACGGGCCGAAUAACAAUAAGCCGAAACGUGCGACUCUAGUUCCAUCGAAUCCGCAAAACGACAAACUCUCUACUGUUAUGUCGACGUUAAUUUAGAGAUGCUUCUAAUUACGACUAUUAUUUUGGUAUUGGUCAAAUUUCCAUUGAGAACGAUACAAAAUAUAGGGUAAAGUAGAAUUUGUUUGUUGUAGUAUUUAUUGGUCAAAUUUCCAUUGGAAUGAUACAAAAUAUAUGGGGAAUGUUAAACUUGUUAUUAGUCUGACCGAUAUCUGAAUGUAAUAAAUGUUUGAUAUUUUGUAUCUAAAUAAAUGUAUCGGCGUUAAUUUAUAAAUGUUUCUAAUACUAUUGUUAUUUUAACAAUCAUCAAAUUAUCAUUGCAAUGAUAGAAAAUAUAGGAUAAAGUAAAAUUUGUUGUUAUGAUAUUGGUUAACUUUUCAUCGAAUAUCAUAGAAGAUAUAGGACAAUGUUAAAUUUCUUAUUAGGUUGAUCGAUAUCUAAAUGUAAUAAAUGUUCAAUAUUUUAGAUAUCGAUAAAUAAGUCAACGUUAAUUUAAGAAUGCUUCUAAUACUAUUAUUAUCUCAACGGUGAUCAAAUACCCAUUGAAAUGAUACAAAAUAUAGGGCAACGUUAAAUUUCUUAUUAGGUUGAUCGAUAUGGGAAUGUAGUAAAUGUUUGAUUGUUCAUAUCGAAAUAAAUUCGUGAAAGUUAAUUUAAAGAUAUUCCUAAUUACGACUAUUAUUUCAGUAUUGAUCAAACUUCCAUUGGUAUUAUACAAAAUAUAGAAUGAAGUAUAAUUUAUUGUUAUAGUAUUUAUCGGUCAAAUUCCCAUCGGAACGAUAGAAAAUAUAGAGCAAUGUUAAAGUUCUUAUUAGGUUGAUCUGGAUAUCUGAAUGUAAUAAAUGUUCGAUAUAUUAUAUCUAAAUAAAUAUGUCGACGUUAA